UUCGGGACAGAAUUUUGUAAGUUAUAAGGCCCUGUUUGGAUGCAUAGUUAAAAAACACUAUAAAAUUUUUAUUCUAUGGUUUUGGUCUAAAUGAAAUACGGAAUUCUGUAACUACAAAAAAAUUCCACAGCUUCAUUUUUAAGCUGUUUGGAUACAUAUCAUACAAUUCCACAGUAUUUAUAACAAUUAAAUUUCUAAAAUUUUAUAAUUCAAAAUUCAAAACUCAAAAUNCUUUAUAUGAUUAGUUAAAUGUGAAUUUGAGCCUUAUCAGUUUUUCUUUUAUUAUUUGUUAUCCUUCAUAAUAUUUCAAAUAUUUUUUAUGUUUCUUUUUAAUGUUUUUAUUUUUUUGCUAAACUUAUAGUUUGUAGAUUUUUACUAAAGCAUUCUUACCCGCCGCAUCGCGCGGGUCCCUACACUAGUAUAUAUAUAUAUAUAUAGAGAGAGAGAGAAGAAAAAUUUAGAAAAAGAUAGAAAAAAUUUGAGAGAAAAUGAAAAAGAAAAAUUAAAAUAGAAAUGAGAAAAAAAAGAGAGAUUAAUUUUAAUCGUCUAUCAAAAUUGAUGAAUGAUUAGAAUCUUAAAAGCACAAUGACUAUUAUACUUUUAAUAACACAAAAACCCUACUCUCCCUUUACCAAAAGAUAUUUCUAAAAAUUUAAAAAAUUUGCCAACUUGAAAAUAAAUCUAAAUUUGGACUUAAAUAUAAUAUGGCCAGUUACACCUUUUCAUCCUAAGGUUCACCAAUCUUUUUAAAUUUUUUAAUAUUUAAAAAAUAAGUAUUGAUUCUUAAAUAAAGGAAUGUAAAAUUUACACUUCUGAGGGGUCCAAUUAGCGCUACACUAUUUUGCUCUUUACUAAUAUUAGCUAUUUAUUAAAUUUUAAAAAAUAAAAAUUUUGAGUUGUACCUGCAUAUCGUAUCAAUAUCUUAUUGACAUAAUACCACACCGGUACGAAUUAAAUCCUUAGUUCCCACCAUUUACCCUCUCUUUCAUUCUGAUCUCCAACCUUUAAAUUUUCACAAUCACAUCCCUAAUUUUUACUCAUUUUAAUUAAAUUUCACGGUUAAAAUUAUCAUGCACUUUAACAGAAAAAUACAAAGCACCAACCAAUAAUUGCUAUGUCGAUACCAAAUUUUGUCACAAACAAUUUCUUUUAAGGGCUUGUUUGGUUCAUCCAUUUUGGGUAUAGAAUAAAAAUCAGUUUGAUCAAAUCCGAUUAAUUUUACUUGGUUCGCAAUUUCGCAUGAAUCAGUUUGGAAUUUCUAUUCUGGACUGGAAUGGGAAUGACCCAUUAGCCUUCAACUUUAUUCUGAUUUUCUAACCCAGAUUGAUAUUUCAUUCCGGAAGCCCACUAAGUUCUCGAAGCCCAUGUGACCAUCUCACGCUCGUUCUCUUCACUCCUUUCUCAUCAAAAAAAAAAAAAUCUAUCAUGUCUCAAAACCAUAUCCNAUAUCUUUCGGAGCCCAAAAUGGUGGAAUUUUUUUCCUUUGGUUAAAGUGGAUUGUAAGUUUACUCCAUUUUUUGGAGUAUAGUAUAACUAUACUCCAAAAAUUACGUCAUUUUUUUUUCUUCCAAACGCUUCAUAGGAUUAUUUUCCUACCAGCGUAGCAUAGUUUAACUAUGCUACGUUUUUAGAGGUAUCCAAACGGGGCCUAAAUGUAUGUAUAUCUAUAAUCUCCUAUAAACUAUUAUUAAUUCCCGUAAUUUUAAGCCACGUGGCAAGUUUUGCUUAACUUUUGCCUAUGCUUUUGCCUGUGGGUCCCACUGUGAGUAUAUUAUUCCUCUGCUUUAGUUAAAUCGGCCCAUCUCUCUCUUUGCCUUAAACUGGUUUUUUUUUUUGACCGCUCCUCUCCUUCGUGGGUUUGCUUCGUUAUCUCGGCGUCUCCUCUUCCGCCUCUUCGUUAGCCCUCUCUAUUAAGAGGAUUUUGACUCUU
rnacentral:lncRNA from 1 species